rnacentral:rRNA from 1 species
AUUGAACGCUGGCGGCAUGCCUUACACAUGCAAGUCGAACGGUAACAGGUCUUCGGAUGCUGACGAGUGGCGAACGGGUGAGUAAUACAUCGGAACGUGCCCGAGAGUGGGGGAUAACGAGGCGAAAGCUUUGCUAAUACCGCACACGAUCUCAGGAUGAAAGCAGGGGACCGCAAGGCCUUGCGCUCACGGAGCGGCCGAUGGCAGAUUAGGUAGUUGGUGGGAUAAAAGCUUACCAAGCCGACGAUCUGUAGCUGGUCUGAGAGGACGACCAGCCACACUGGGACUGAGACACGGCCCAGACUCCUACGGGAGGCAGCAGUGGGGAAUUUUGGACAAUGGGCGCAAGCCUGAUCCAGCCAUGCCGCGUGCAGGAUGAAGGCCUUCGGGUUGUAAACUGCUUUUGUACGGAACGAAAAGACUCUGGUUAAUACCUGGGGUCCAUGACGGUACCGUAAGAAUAAGCACCGGCUAACUACGUGCCAGCCGCCGCCGUAAUAC